rnacentral:rRNA from 1 species
GACGAACGCUGGCGGCGUGCUUAACACAUGCAAGUCGAACGGAAAGGCCCCUUUGGGGGUACUCGAGUGGCGAACGGGUGAGUAACACGUGAGUAACCUGCCCUUGACUUCGGGAUAACUUCAGGAAACUGGGGCUAAUACCGGAUAGGAAUCCUUGCUGCAUGGUGGGGGUUGGAAAGCUUCGGCGGUUUUGGAUGGACUCGCGGCUUAUCAGCUUGUUGGUGGGGUAGUGGCUUACCAAGGCUUUGACGGGUAGCCGGCCUGAGAGGGCGACCGGCCACAUUGGGACUGAGAGACGGCCCAGACUCCUACGGGAGGCAGCAGUGGGGAAUAUUGCACAAUGGGCGGAAGCCUGAUGCAGCAACGCCGCGUGCGGGAUGACGGACUUCGGGUUGUAAACCGCUUUCAGCAGGGGCGAAGCUUGUGGUGACGGUACCUGCAGAAGAAGCACCGGCUAACUACGUG